rnacentral:rRNA from 1 species
CGGGGUGCAGCAGGCGCGAAAACUUUACAAUGCCGGCAACAGCGAUAAGGGGACCUUGAGUGCCAGGAUACAAUCCUGGCUGUCGUGAUGCCUAAAAAGCAUUAUAUAGCAAGGGCCGGGCAAGACCGGUGCCAGCCGCCGCGGUAACACCGGCGGCUCGAGUGGUAACCGCUAUUAUUGGGUCUAAAGGGUCUGUAGCCGGCUUGGUUAGUCUCUUGGGAAAUCCGGCAGCUUAACUGUCGGGCUUUCAGGAGAUACUGCCAGGCUCGAGACCGGGAGAGGUGAGAGGUACUUCAUGGGUAGGGGUGGAAUCUUGUAAUCCUUGAAGGACCACCAGUGGCGAAGGCGUCUCACCAGAACGGAUCUGACGGCAAGGGACGAAAGCUAGGGGCACGAACCGGAUUAGAUACCCGGGUAGUCCUAGCCGUAAACGAUACUCGCUAGGUGUCGGCCACGGUGCGACCGUGGUCGGUGCCGUAGGGAAGCCGUGAAGCGAGCCACCUGGGAAGUACGGCCGCAAGGCUGAAACUUAAAGGAAUUGGCGGGGGAGCACAAGGGCGAAUCGCG